GAGACAGCAGUCGCCGCGGGAAUACGUAGGUGGCAAGCGUUGUCCGGAAUUAUUGGGCGUAAAGCGCGCGCAGGCGGAUAGGUCAGUCUGUCUUAAAAGUUCGGGGCUUAACCCCGUGAUGGGAUAGAAACUGCCAAUCUAGAGUAUCGGAGAGGAAAGUGGAGUUCCUAGUGUAGCGGUGAAAUGCGUAGAUAUUAGGAAGAACACCAGUGGCGAAGGCGACUUUCUGGACGAAAACUGACGCUGAGGCACGAAAGCCAGGGGAGCGAACGGGAUUAGAUACCCCCGUAGUCCCUGUCUCUUAUACA
rnacentral:rRNA from 1 species